rnacentral:rRNA from 1 species
UACGUAGGGGGCAAGCGUUGUCCGGAUUUACUGGGCGUAAAGAGCGUGUAGGCGGCCAUGCAGGUCCGUUGUGAAAACUGGAGGCUUAACCUCCAGACGUCGACGGAAACCGCGUGGCUAGAGUCCGGAAGAGGAGAGUGGAAUUCCUGGUGUAGCGGUGAAAUGCGCAGAUAUCAGGAAGAACACCCGUGGCGAAGGCGGCUUUCUGGGACGGUACUGACGCUGAGACGCGAAAGCGUGGGGAGCGAACAGG